GUUGAGAUGGUCGAGUUGGUUUAAGGCGCCAGAUUAAGGUUCAGGUCCGAAAGGGCGUGGGUUCAAAUCCCACUCUCAACA
rfam:Ipomoea nil DNA, scaffold: scaffold2662, cultivar: Tokyo-kokei standard.